GUGUCAGCAGCCGCGGUAAGACGAACCGUGCGAACGUUGUUCGGAAUCACUGGGCAUAAAGGGCGCGUAGGCGGCUUUUCAAGUCAGGGGUGAAAUCCGGCAGCUCAACUGUCGAAGUGCCUUUGAUACUGGGAAGCUCGAGGGAGGUAGGGGUGUGUGGAACUUCCGGUGGAGCGGUGAAAUGCGUUGAUAUCGGAAGGAACGCCGGUGGCGAAAGCGACGCACUGGACCUCUUCUGACGCUGAGGCGCGAAAGCCAGGGGAGCAAACGGGAUUAGAAACCCCUGUAGUCC
rnacentral:rRNA from 1 species